rnacentral:lncRNA from 1 species
GACAACACUUCCAAAACAUACCACUGCUCGUUUGGUAAAAGCUGAAAAAGACACAGGCAGCUCUUUACUGGAAAAUACCUCUUGAAGUGAAGAGUUACUCAACUAUUUUCUCUCAAAUGUUGCCUGUAUUUUCUUUGGAACAUGCGGUCACAUACUCGAGAUGAACACGAGUAACCAAGGUGGAACUGAGCGAAUCCAAGUCCACAGAAGUGAUUCAGCUUUAGUGGCUGUAAAAUCCAAAUCCAUUUGGCACCAUUGUCUCGGUCCUGUCAGUCCCCUAAGGGCCGACGCGUAGGUUUCUGACUAAGUCAGUAUGUUGCAAUGUUCCAAGCUUUGUUUAACCUUGCUUCAGAUCAUCUGGCAUUUUUUGAAGCGCACAGUUACGCAGAAACAAGAGCCGGGUUCUUGCGUUGGACUGUCCUUGACAGGACUCUUUUCAUGUGCCUGUGGAAGGAUGCACAUACCAGAAAGCAGAACAUGAUUUGCUGUCCUCAGUUACUACGCAACAGGUGACCACUUUUU